rnacentral:rRNA from 1 species
CAAUCCAUUGGAAGGGGAACCCCGGGAACUGGGGAUAAUACCCCAUAGACUAUAGAUGCUGGAAUGCUUUGUAGUUGAAAGGUCCGCCGCCAUAGGAUGGGUCUGCGGCCGAUUAGGUUGUUGUUGGGGUAACGGCCCAACAAGCCUGUAAUCGGUACGGGUUGUGGGAGCAAGAGCCCGGAGAUGGAUUCUGAGACACGAAUCCAGGCCCUACGGGGCGCAGCAGGCGCGAAAACUUUACAAUGCGGGAAACCGUGAUAAGGGAACUCCGAGUGCCCGUAAAAUCGGGCUGUCCAUCUGUUUAAAUAACAGGUGAAGAAAGGGCCGGGCAAGACCGGUGCCAGCCGCCGCGGUAAUACCGGCGGCUCGAGUGGUGGCCACUAUUACUGGGCUUAAAGCGUUCGUAGCUGGUCUGUUAAGUCUCUGGGGAAAUCUACUGGCUUAACCAAUAGGCGUCUCAGGGAUACUGGCAGACUAGGGACCGGGAGAGGUGAGAGGUACUCCAGGGGUAGGAGUGAAAUCCUGUAAUCCUUGGGGGACCACCUGUGGCGAAGGCGUCUCACCAGAACGGCUCCGACAGUGAGGGACGAAAGCUGGGGGAGCAAACCGGAUUAGAUACCCGGGUAGUCCCAGCCGUAAACGAUGCGCGUUAGGUGUAUCGGUGACCACGAGUCACCGAGGUGCCGAAGAGAAAUCGUGAAACGUGCCGCCUGGGAAGUACGGUCGCAAGGCUGAAACUUAAAGGAAUUGGCGGGGGAGCAC